UUACCUUCGGGUAAUGAGGAUGGCGGACGGGUGAGUAACGCGUAAGGAACUUGCCUCUUGGUCUGGGACAACUGUUGGAAACGACAGCUAAUACCGGAUAUUAUGAGAUUCUCGCAUGGGAAACUUAUGAAAGCUAUAUGCGCCAAGAGAGAGCCUUGCGUUCCAUUAGCUAGUUGGUGGGGUAACGGCCCACCAAGGCGACGAUGGAUAGCCGGCCUGAGAGGGUGAACGGCCACAAGGGGACUGAGACACGGCCCUUACUCCUACGGGAGGCAGCAGUGGGGAAUAUUGGACAAUGGGCCACAAGCCUGAUCCAGCAAUUCUGUGUGCACGAUGAAGGUCUUCGGAUUGUAAAGUGCUUUCAGUUGGGAAGAAGAAAGUGACGGUACCAACAGAAGAAGCGACGGCUAAAUACGUGCCAGCAGCCGCGGUAAUACGUAUGUCGCAAGCGUUAUCCGGAUUUAUUGGGCGUAAAGCGCGUCUAGGCGGAAAAAUAAGUCUGAUGUUAAAAUGCGGGGCUCAACUCCGUAUUGCGUUGGAAACUGUUUUUCUAGAGUACUGGAGAGGUGGGCGGAACUACAAGUGUAGAGGUGAAAUUCGUAGAUAUUUGUAGGAAUGCCGAUGGAGAAGUCAGCUCACUGGACAGAUACUGACGCUAAAGCGCGAAAGCGUGGGGAGCAAACAGGA
rnacentral:rRNA from 1 species